CAGAUAUUUUUGAAAAAUUAAUAGUGUGCCAAAAAGUAAGAGAAUGAAACAUAGUGGGAGUGAGACAAAAGUAAGAGAGUGAAACAUAAUGAAAAGGACAAGUAAUUGUAUGCACCUAAUUUUUGACUAUAUUUGAAUAGUUCAUCACUUUUUAGUAUGUAAAUAUAUUUUAAGUUUAGUCUACAUAUUUUAUCACUUAUUUUAUCUUUUAUAUGUUUUAUUUAAGAAAAUUAAAAACCAACAAAAGAAUCACAUUUUUAGAGUAUUAAUUUUGUUUAAUUUACAAAAGAAAGAAAAUUCACAAAAAAUAUAUUUUUCUUUUAAUAAGUAAGCGAGCAACUCUACUUCUUGCAAUUUUGUCCUUUCCUAAAAAAAAUUAUUUACGUUAACUCACACGCACCCACUUUGCACUAGAAUCUUUAUUUAAUACCUCACCUACACUAUGUCAAUUCCAUAAAAGGACUCCACUCAUUCCAUCUUUCACAAGCACCUUACAAGAACACAUUUUCGUACCAAUUUUUAUCCACAUCACCUCAGCUAACAAACUUUGAUUCCCCAAGAAUAUUCUCUCACAAAAAUUCCCAGCUAGCUUGCUCUCCAAGAUCACUCGUCCUUAUCUAUCUAGAGAGCACAUGCUAAUUGGUAGGAAAUGCAAUCUCUCUCACGUGAUCUCACACACUGAUUUUCUUGGGCUUUAAACACGCACAUGUACCCAGAUAUAACCUCACUCAGUCACAGAAUAGAGGAACCUUAAGAGAAGUCCUAGAAUUGAGCGUCGUAGAGCAAAAUUUGAUCUCCAUCUUCACGCUUUCUUCGUCAAAAACCCACACCAUAACAUACCAGUCCCUUGACGACCGGAAGCAGCCAUGAAACAAUCCUGAAACUCACCAAAACCAAAACAACUCCUUGAAGCCUCCAUCAAAAGUUGACGAGUUGUCCGUUUGCCGAGAGGUUCUGUUCGAGUUUUCUCCGGCGCGGUCGUGGUCGUUUGGUUAAGUUUAGUUGCCAAUUCAUCUUAACUAUCGUGUACGUGGGUGGAGUUUUACUUUUAAAUUAAUAAAAAGCUUUGAUCCUUAAGGUGCAAUCCCUUUCUUUCCUUAUUGUUUCAAUUCCUUGGUUAACUUCAUGCUUUUUAAAUAUAUGAACACUGGCCCUUAUGUUGUUGAUUUAAGUGUUUUGAGCAAAUUGAUUAUUUUGAAUGUUUAAUGUUUCUUUGCUUAAUAUUGCCUCACCGAUUCUCUUGAUAAGGAAUUUUCACAUGAGGUCACAUUAAGUGUUAUGCAUAUGCUUGUACAUUAAGUCAAAGCGUUUUCUUCGAGCUUGGGUUUAGAUAUCCAUUGUUGGAUUUUCUGUAUUUCAUUAUUAUGUUAAAAGUUGAUUGGGUGAUAUUUUUGGGACCGUCAAGUUGAUUUUAAGAAAAAGAAUUUGGGCCUGUAAAGUUUUAAUUUGAGAUAAUAUGCCUAAUGGUUGAUUUUCGUUUGAUCCAAUCCGAUAAGAGUAACAAUGUUGUCAACUUAUUAAGAAUGUGUUGAACUCAUAUGUCAUUUCCUCCACAACUCCAUAUCCAUAAUUCAUGACCUCACAAUAAUCUCAAAGUAGAAAAAAUAAUCCAUGAAUAUGUUAGUAUGCUUUUAGGCACGCUCUUAAUUAAUUAAAUUAUCGUGAUUAUGUAUACGUUCGCGUGACAUAAUUACGACUUCCAAACUUAAAACCAAGGUAUGUGUUCGCGCAACUUUGGACGAAACAGUCUUAAUAUUAAUUAAGUAUUAUUAAUGGUGUACACGUAUGCGAGACAUAAUUUUUAGCGCACUAAAUAAAACGGAAUUACACACACGUAAUUCGUUUCAAGAUAAAUCCAUAACGACAUAAUUAAAAGCGGUAAAAAAGUAAAACACACGUAGGUUCUAAAAAUACGUAAUUAUUAAUUAAGCCAGGUAUGAUUAAAGCAACUGUGCUACAAUCACGUAAUUCGGGAGUGGCUCACACCUUCUUCCGGGUUAAUAGAAUUCCUUACCCGGUCUUCUAUAUUUGCAGACCACAAAUAAAGUCAAUUUCUUCGAUUUGGGAUUUAAAAUGAACCGGUGACUUGGGACACCAUAACAAUUAUCCCAAGUGGCGACUCUAAUUAAAUAAUUAAUUCCAUUUCGAAUAUGUCACUUUAAUUGGAAAAACUUCCCUAUCCCUCGGAAAAAGGGGAUGUGACAACUCUGGCGACUCUUUUGUGGAAAAGAACCCAGAAUCUUUGGUUCAGGGUUCAGAAUUCGAGCUUGUAAUGUGAUCUAUACUUGGCUUUCUUGAUUAUUGAUAUUAUUGUGUUUGUGGGCCUAAUGUGCUAAUUGUCGCUCAUUUACCGCUUUGAUAUUAUUUGAAUUGUAUAAACUAUCUUUUUACGCCUCCCUUCUGAGUCUUCUGAAACUAUGGUGCAUACGUACGCGUGACCCACUUUUCUGUUAGAGGUCAUACCAAAUAGAACGAGGAUGGAUCAGNNNNNNNNNNNNNNNNNNNNNNNNNNNNNNNNNNNNNNNNNNNNNNNNNNNNNNNNNNNNNNNNNNNNNNNNNNNNNNNNNNNNNNNNNNNNNNNNNNNNNNNNNNNNNNACAUAGCCUCAUGACGGAUCCCGAGUAGGAACGUUUGUUUGCUUCACGUGCAUUUGACUUUAGGGACUCAACACAGGGGUUGGGUCCUUCUAGGACAAGUGUACCCAAAAUAAAAGACCAUCCUGAUGCAUCCUACGUGCUAUUUUUGCAUUUGAUUGUUUCGGCUUGCAUGUUGAUCGGCUACUAGAAUAGGGGAAGAAAAUCAAGAAAAACCAAGAGUGAGGUAGGAAAGAGAAGAUUCACCCGGUUCUGAAAAACCUAGCUAUUUGAAAAAUCCUGAAACUCUCCGAAAUUUUGAAGAAAAAAAAUUCAUUUCAAAAUGAGUCAAAACUCAUGUUUUCCCUGUUAUGUCAAAAUUGACCGAACUACGCGGGUCUAAUUCUCAACGGAUGUGUGAUAUGUAGGCAAACCUUAUCGGUUCCGGCCCCAAUUUUCAAAAAAUUCAAAAAUAUUUUCUCUUUCCUUAAUUUCCUCUUUAGAAUUCUUUCCUUAUAAAUUCCAAAAAAAAAAAAUUAAAUCCAAAAGUAUUUUCCUUCUUUUCCGAAGACUUUCAUUCAAAAAAUAAAAGAAAAAGAAUUUCAAAUCAAAAUCCAAAAUAUUUUCUUUUUUCUUUAAAAAAAAUUCAAAAUUCCAUAAAAAGAAAAAAAAACUCAAAAAAAUAAUAUUUAAAAGUCUUUAUAAAAAAAUAAAAAGAAAGAAAAAUGGGUCAGUCAAUUCUCGAUCUUCCCGAACUAUGCAAGAUCUGAUUCAUGUGGCGUCAUGAUACAUAGGCAAUUCCUAUAGAUUCGAUCAUUGCCAUCAAUUAAACUGAGUGAAAAAGAGAGAAGAAAGAAAAAGAAAGAAAAUAGUGACAAAAAUAACAAAGAAAACAAAGAGCGAAAAAAAAAACAAGAGUGAAAAAUCCAAAAAAGGUGAACUCUGUGUCCAGUUUGACAAAGAAAACCGCAUAAAGUUUCCGUGAAUAUGCUGUCAAAUGGCGCGAGCAAGCCUCCAGGGUAAAGCCUCCAAUGGACAAAACAGAAAUGGUUACGGUCUUCCUACAGGCCUAAGAGGCAGACUACUUCCACAACAUGAUAUCCGCUAUGGGUAAUCCGUUCGUCGGGGCUAUCAAAAUUGGGGAGAUGAUAAAAACUGGUUUAAAAAUGGGCCGAAUCUUGAGUCAUGCUGCCUUUAAGGCCGCAUCACAGGCUUUUAUGAAUGGUUCGGGGGUUUUGAUGAACAAAAACGGGAGAGAAGAGGGAGUCAUGAUGGCUUCGAGCUCGAGGAGGGCCCGCAUGUCAUUCAGCCAAUCAUAUAUGCUUCUUAAGGUCCCAUAACACUAUUAUCUCCAUCAAGAUGCUCCUUAUGUCAUGGAACCACCUCCCUAUGCGGUGAUGAACGCGCAACCUCACACGCAGCCACAACAUUAUACACAAAACUGAGCUCCACCACCUAGAAAUGUCCGUCCCUACCAAGUUCCAUAUAAUUCCCAACCAAAUGUUCCCCAAUACAAUCCUCGCUCAAGAGAGCCCCUCAGAAGGAGUCAGUUCACCCAUAUUGGUGAAUCAUAUUCAAGUUUGUUUCAAAAGCUAAUCGGGCUAGAUCUGCUGCAGCUAGUGGCCUCGAACCGGCCAAACCCCAAGUCCCCCUCGCACCAAGGUUAUGCUAGAUGUGAACACCACUCUAGAGUAGUGGGACAGGAUACAGAGGACUGUUGGACCCUCAAAAGGGCAGUUGAAGAAUUGAUGAUCUAGCAUUGAAAGCCACAAUAGCCAUUGUCGCGGAAGAAGAGAAACCUAAAAAUGGGUGCCAAACCUGAAAACGUUCUCUGUCAUAUGGGAGUCUCGGUAGCCGGUCUUGCUAUCUUUUCUGCAUCCGAAUUAUUUCAGGGUGUAAUCCAGAUGUUUUACUUCACUGCUUUGCUUUCUGAUGUAAACCCUUCUAUCUUUAAAAAUUAAAAAAAAUAAAUCAAAUGAAAUUAAUAUUUCAUUGUCCAGGAAUGUUUCUUUUCUUAAUCUUGUCACCUUUUCAGUUAUGUUAAUGCAGAUUUUAAUAACAUGACAUACUUACAGACUUCAUGCCCAGAUCCUAAAAUGCUGUCAAACCUCGAAAUAAUGAAUCAAGAAACAGCAUGUGUUGAAGAUAAGGCUUAUGAGAAAAUAAACAAAGAUUUGGAACAGUAGGCCUAAGCCAAGUCCGAAUGAAAUUGGAAGAAGUUAGAAUUCCCUCUCUUCGAAUCAUUGUUGAAGCCGAGAUUGAGAAUGAAGAAUGGGUCAAGACCCGGUUAGAAUAAUUAACUUUGAUGGAUGAAAAGCGAUUGGUCGCAGUUUGUCACGGGCAGUUGUAGCAACAAAGAAUGGCCAGUGCCUACAACAAGAAAGUGCGGCCCAGGAAAUUUGAAGUGGGGCAAUUCGUUCUGAGACGUAUCCUCCCACAUCAUGAAGAAGCUACAGGAAAAUAGGCUCCAAAUUGAUGCAGUCAAAAGGUACUAUGUUUGACCCUUUAUGCAGCUUUAAUAUAAUUCUCUCUAAUUGGGAUGACGAAGGCUUUCAUUCUCGCUACCCAAACACCAUUAACCUUUUUUGCCAACCCUUUGAGCCGGUUACCUUUCUUUUAUUACCCUCUUUUGAACCUGAAGGUGUUAUUGAAAAACAAAAGAGAGAGAAGAAGAAAAAAACAAGAAAAAAAAAAGGAAAAACAAGAAAGAAAGAAAAAAAAAGGAGAAAGAGAAAAGAAAAAAACAAAAAAACAAACAAACAAACAAAAAUCAAAAAACAAGUUCAUAUUAAUUUAACUACGUUUGACUUGAUUCCGAAAGAAUACGUAGGCAGCCUCUCUCUGGGGUUCAGUCACACCAAAAUAACAAUCCGCAUUCCCCCAAAAGUUGAAACUGGGACAAAGAUUACAAUGGUUCGACGAUGGUUUCGCCUGAAAGGUUCCAAAGUUGUAAUUCAAUCCAAAUUCUUUUUACCCAAAUCCUUUUCAAGUCCUUCCGAUCAAUCGAUGAGAGUGUUCAAGAAUUGGAGGAUACAGUUACUUGGAUCUGAUACAACCAAAUGAGUGAAAUAAAAUGAGAGAGUCUUGUUGGUGAAAACUCUCACGGGCACCGUAAGGCGAUGGUAAGUAGAGAAAUUAAAAAUGAGAGAGUCUUGCUAGUGAAUACUCGCAAAGAGCACUAUAAGGCGAUAGUGAGAAGAGAAAUGAGAGAGGUCAGUUGGUGAAAACCCGCAAAGGGCACUACUGAUCGAAAAGAGGAUCCUCACAACCAUUGAUAUUGACACAGUCGUGGGCAAGGUUUCUCGGUUCCAAGGCAAAGCUGGGAUGAGUUUCUGAGAGUCAGACGGUUUACACAGAUCAGGCAUCCAGUCCAAAAGGCAUGUCAUAUUCAUUGAAGUCCGCAUGUACUCCAGAUAAGUCUUUCUUUCCGUUCCCCGAAAAAGACAUCUCUUGUUUAAAUUUAUUAUCCAUUUCAUUGUUUGUUUUUUGUUGAAUCCCUUUCGGUCUAAUCUUGUUCCAAAAAACUAAAAGAAGGGAUGGCAAGAGUGAUUUACAGGGCUCUCGUUUGAUACAAACUAAUAUGCAAAAAAGGCACCCAGCCUCGGCAGGGGCAUCAAGUCGACCCCGACUGGCCAUGGCGGCUGAUGCUUCGAAAUCAAAGACUCUUAGGAGGAAAUCAAAAUUGAAAGUGCCUACAAGGAAAAAAAUGAAGUUGAAAAUGUUAAGUCCAAAGUGGUUAAUUGUCUUGGCAAAGUUUGAAGAGCCAAAGGUUCCCCAAAGCUUUGAAGUUAAAAUUAGAAGAAAGAAGUCAAAGGCCUACAAAGGUAAAAUAAAGUUGAAAAAGGUUAAGUCCCAAGUGACCAACCAUCAUGUAAAAGUUUGAAAUUCAAAAGCUCUCUGGGGCCAGAAUGCAACUGGUAUUCAGGAAACAACUAGUGGCAGGUUGAAAUCAUCAUCAAAAGAAGAUGGGCCAAGAUCAAGUGGCUGAAACACUUAAGGCCGCAAAACCAACACCCAUUUCAAACUAACAAUUGUUCUUUGUUUGAAAAAAAAGGUGCAAUCGAAAAGCAACCUUACAAGAAGUAGGUGCAACCAAAAAGAAAUCACACGGAGACUAAAAUAGCUCGGCAGCAGCAACAACUCCGAAAAGAGAAGUCUUCUCCAAAAUUCCUUCCCACAUUUUACUUACUCUCUUAAUAUAUAUAUAUAUAUAUAUAUAUANNNNNNNNNNNNNNNNNNNNNNNNNNNNNNNNNNNNNNNNNNNNNNNNNNNNNNNNNNNNNNNNNNNNNNNNNNNNNNNNNNNNNNNNNNNNNNNNNNNNNNNNNNNNNNNNNNNNNNNNUUUUCCAACAUAGAGUCUCCACUCCCUAAUUGAUUUUAUUUUAGACAUAUAGGGAGCACCAAUCCCUAGAUGUGUUUCUAACUUAGGGUACACCAAUCCUUAGUUAAGACAUCAUUUAGACAAUCAGGGUACACCACUCCCAAAAACAAAAUCACAUUUUUCCCAGGGUACAUUAGUCCCGACCUUUUAUUGUUUUCAAUAAAUGAAGUAGUAUAGAGCUUUGUUACAAAUAACUCACGAAAUUUUCCUAGUGAAAAUUGGGGCAGAAAAAUUUCGUUCGUUUGUUUUGUUUUGGUGUCUGAGCAGGUUUUACCUUGAGGCAUAGGGUUCGAGAUGACCAAAAAAAGAAGUCUCAAUCCAGAAUAAAAGAAAAAAAAAGAGAAGAAGUGAAUCCAAAAUGCAGAAGCAGAUAAAAAGAUGUGAAGUGCACAAGACAUGACUGAAGCAAUGCAUUUCCAGUUUUGAUCGGAAGAAGUCAUAGAAGAAUAAACUAACACCUGCAACUAGCAAGCAUCAAGGUUGAGUCUGCGUGAAGAACCAGUCAAGACUCAAGAUCAAGUUUCAGAAGACUUAUAGAUAGGAAUCUUAUCACUCAAAACUGAUAGGCUUGUUUAAUUUCUUUUGAUUUUGAUUUUGAUGUAGUGAUAGGACCACAGACCGGAGGCUCAACAGAACCUCACUCGACUCUGCAACUCACCAUUCCAUUACUCCUCUUGAACUACACGUGACCUGAUUCCCUUAUAACCCAGUAUAUAUGGGCUGUCCAAAACAGGACUCGGUUGCACCCUUUUCUUUAUUUAUUUUCCCUUUUUGAAUAAAGAUUUGGUCAAAAAUUAGUCACAUGGCUCACCUUGUCUUUGCCUGAAAACUCUUCAUGGUUCCAAGCAAAGAGGGACAGUUGCGAGCACCUAAUUUUUGACUAUAUUUGAAUAGUUCAUCACUUUUUAGUAUGUAAAUAUAUUUUAAGUUUAGACUACAUAUUUUAGCACUUAUUUUAUCUUUUAUAGGUUUUGUUUAAGAAAAUUAAAAACCAACAAAAGAUUCACAUUUUUAGAGUAUUAAUUUUGUUCUAAUUUACAAAAGAAAGAAAAUUCACAAAAAAAAUAUUUUUCUUUUAAUAAGUAAGCGAGCAACUCUACUUCUUGCAAUUUUAUCUUUUCCUGAAAAAGAAAUUAUUUACGUUAACUCACACGCACCCACUUUGCACUAGAAUUUUUAUUUAAUACCUCACCUGCACUAUGCCAAUUCCAUAAAAGGACUCCACUCAUUCCAUCUUUCACAAGCACCUUACAAGCAUACAUUUUCGUACCAAUUUUUAUCCACAUCACCUCAGCUAACAAACUUUGAUUCCCCAAGAAUAUUCUCUCACAAAAAUUCCCAGCUAGCUUGCUCUCCAAGAUCACUCGUCCUUAUCUAUCUAGAGAGCACAUGCUAAUUGGCAGGAAAUGCAAUCUCUCUCACGUGAUCUCAAUAACACACUGAUUUUCUUAGGCUUCAAACAUGCACAUGUACCCAUAUAUAACCUCACUCAGUCAUAGAAUAGAGGAACCCUAAGAGCAUUCCUAGAAUUGAGCGCCGUAAAGCAAAAUUGGAUCUCCCUCUUCACGCUUUCUUCGUCAAAAACCCACACCAUAUCACACCAGUCCCUUGACAACCGAAAGCAGCCAUGAAACCAUCAUGAAACUCACCGAAACAACUCCUUGAAGCCUCCAUCAAAAGUCGACGAGCUGUCUGUUUGCAAUUCCGAGAGAUUCUGUUCGAGUUUUCUCCGGCGCGAUCAUGGUCGUUUGGUUGAGUUUAGUUGCCGAUUCAUCUUAACUAUUAUGUACGUGGCUAGAGUUUUACUUUUAAAUUAAUAAAAAGUUUCGAUCCUUAAGGUGCAAUCCCUUUCUUUCCUUGCUGUUUCAAUUCCUUGGUUAACUUCAUGCUUUUUAAAUAUAUGAACGAUGGCCCUUAUGUUAUUGAUUUAAGUGUUUUGAAUUGAUUAUUUUGAAUGUUUAAUGUUUCUUUGCUUAAUAUUGCCUCACUGAUUCUCUUGAUAAGAAAUUUUCACAUGAGGUCACGGUAAUUGUUAUGCAUAUGCUUGUACAUUAAGUCAAAGCGUCUUCUUCGAGCUUGGGUUUAGAUAUCCAUUGUUGGAUUUUCU
rnacentral:lncRNA from 1 species